UUGAUGAGAAGGAGGAAGGAGGACGUAUUUGAAGACAACAACCAAAAAACAUUAAACGAGAACAUAUUGAACCACUAAAAAACACAGAGGGUGUUACUGUUUUGGAUUGUCUCGCUUUUUCUCAAAUCUGAGUGAGAUGUCUUCAGCCCAUUGAAACUGCUAUCCUGCCGUAUACAAUGAUGUU